GAUGAACGCUGGCGGCGUGCCUAAUACAUGCAAGUCGAGCGAACAGACGAGGAGCUUGCUCCUCUGACGUUAGCGGCGGACGGGUGAGUAACACGUGGAUAACCUACCUAUAAGACUGGGAUAACUUCGGGAAACCGGAGCUAAUACCGGAUAAUAUAUUGAACCGCAUGGUUCAAUAGUGAAAGACGGUUUUGCUGUCGCUUAUAGAUGGAUCCGCGCCGCAUUAGCUAGUUGGUAAGGUAACGGCUUACCAAGGCGACGAUGCGUAGCCGACCUGAGAGGGUGAUCGGCCACACUGGAACUGAGACACGGUCCAGACUCCUACGGGAGGCAGCAGUAGGGAAUCUUCCGCAAUGGGCGAAAGCCUGACGGAGCAACGCCGCGUGAGUGAUGAAGGUCUUCGGAUCGUAAAACUCUGUUAUUAGGGAAGAACAAAUGUGUAAGUAACUAUGCACGUCUUGACGGUACCUAAUCAGAAAGCCACGGCUAACUACGUG
rnacentral:rRNA from 1 species